rnacentral:rRNA from 1 species
GAUGAACGCUGGCGGCGUGCCUAAUACAUGCAAGUCGAGCGAACAGACGAGGAGCUUGCUCCUCUGACGUUAGCGGCGGACGGGUGAGUAACACGUGGAUAACCUACCUAUAAGACUGGGAUAACUUCGGGAAACCGGAGCUAAUACCGGAUAAUAUAUUGAACCGCAUGGUUCAAUAGUGAAAGACGGUUUUGCUGUCACUUAUAGAUGGAUCCGCGCCGCAUUAGCUAGUUGGUAAGGUAACGGCUUACCAAGGCAACGAUGCGUAGCCGACCUGAGAGGGUGAUCGGCCACACUGGAACUGAGACACGGUCCAGACUCCUACGGGAGGCAGUAGUAGGGAAUCUUCCGCAAUGGGCGAAAGCCUGACGGAGCAACGCCGCGUGAGUGAUGAAGGUCUUCGGAUCGUAAAACUCUGUUAUUAGGGAAGAACAAAUGUGUAAGUAACUAUGCACGUCUUGACGGUACCUAAUCAGAAAGCCACGGCUAACUACGUG